rnacentral:ncRNA from 1 species
UUGAAAUCGUUGACGAGGACAAGUAGGUAAGCCGUUUGUGAUAGAGAGCCUGUGGGUGGUGGAAACAGGUAUGAACACUUAUUGAAAUCCCCCUCUGAGUGAAAUGGGGAAUGAAGUAUCCAUUUCCGGCUUUAGCCGUUAUCUAAUGAAGCGAUAGAUGUUUCACGUGAAACAUUUAUAAAUAGGGUGGCACCACGAGAUUCUCGUCCCUAAA